CAAUGAACCACAACUAGUGUUGGACUAGUGUAGUGACGGGAAAGGGGGCCACAACUAGCAUUGGACUAGUGUGGUGACGUCCAUUCAUUCGUCACAUUCAUUCAUGACUAUAAAAGGCGAGUAGACAUGCGAAUCACUUAUAAACACGUAGCACAUAACACUUAGCAUGCAUAUCUAGAUGCCCAAAACCUAAGAAAGCGAUGAAACAUAUAGCACAUAGACAUGCAAGACACAUAAGGCAACUAAGGCCCUAACUAUUACAUUUUUAGGGGAAGAAGGCCUAUACAAUCUAGGAGGGGGGAACGGAAUAAAAAGUAAACAUGAAAUUGAAUCAAUUAAAUCAUGUAGACAACCCACAUUUAAGAAGUCAAAAGAAGAAAGGACUUGAUUGCAAAGAUUGACAAAGAUUUGGGGUCAAAAUCAAAGAAAAACAUAGUUUAGGGGCCUAUUUGCAAUUAAGUUAAGGACCCAAUUGAAAGGAGUUGAAAAUGUCCAGGGCCACAGUACAAUUAAGGAGAAAUUCAAGGACUGAUUCGCAAAUCCAAUUAUCAGAUUCUUAAGAAACAGGCCCUUGGGCCAUUUUAUUUAUCUCUUGGGCCAAAACCUUCCUAAGCCCGCCGAAAAUCCAAGGCAAAUGGAAUGGGUCAGCCUUCACAUUCCAAUAAACAAAGCCAAUCAAAAGAGUGGGCUAAACCUAUACUAGAAACCCAAACAAAAUUUUAUUAAACCCACCUUUUCAACCCAACCAAAUAUUAUUACCCAAAAACCCUAAUCAUAAAACUAAAACAAGAUUUUUGAAUGAUGAAGGUUUGGGACCUGAUUGGGACCAGAAUCGGACUUGAUUGAAAGAAUUAUGAAGGUUUGGGGGGUCGAAUCAUGAAGUUCUACAAGCUUUGGGGCGAAAUCACAGAGCAAGGGACAAUGGAAGGACUGAAAUUAUAAAUUUAAGCAAAUAUUCAUCCUCUUCAAACUGAUGGAACAUUCACCGCCAUUUCAUCCCCCUUUGCAUACGGCAAACACCAGAAAAAUGCAUUCUCAAUCAUAGCAAAAAGAAACGGAACCUGCACAAGGUUCCUCCCAUGCCAAUGGGACUCGAAUUCAUUCAAGGAAAGGGAUGAGGAACAGGAAAACAGAAAAAGGUGCACGAACAUCAGCAUGUCAAAGCCCCUCAAGACAUUACUUUCUACCAUGAAACAAAACCAGCUAUGAUAUUUGGACAAGCCCUAAAUUAGCCGAAUGUUCAUUUUCCUCACACACAAAACGCAGGCAAAUCAUCUUCAAGUAUAACUCUCAAUUGGGCAUUUUAUCAAACACUAAAUGGGCAUAAAAGUUCAGCAAAAUUUUGUUCGAUUGAUGUCAUAAUCAGCCCCCAAAAUUUGUAAGAAGCAAACAAAUUCAGCCCAAUCGACGUAUACAGCAUCCAAAUUCAAAAAUUUGAGGCCAAUUGGCAGGAAAAUCACGCUAGAUUAAGCCACAGCAGACCCAUUUCACACACUUGAGAAGAACUGAAAUUUAAAUAGGAAACUUACAGAGCUCUUUACAAUGAAAAUCCACGGGCGAUGAUAGCGGGUUCCGGUGGUGGCAAUGGCAGACAGCAGCGGCAACGGACGCGAACUGGUGGUGGCUUGGUUCUUCCUCCGUCUCAGUGACAUAUCGCGGCGACAAUCUACAGGGGGUAGUGUCGGAGUCCAUUUCUGUAAUUCGUUUCUUGGUGAAAAUUUGCCAGCAAUGAUGUCGGAUUCGGCGAAGUGAUGGUGGCGAUGAGCGGUGGCGGUUCCAGUUUUCUGAAUUCAUCCUUCAUUUUGCCGAAACCUUCUUCCUCUGCUUCCGUUUGCAAUCGUGGCCUUUCCUCUGUUUUUCUUUCUACCCAGCGGCCAUCAACCGUAGCUACCUCCUCUCCACCUCUCUGUUUCUCUGUUUUUUCCUCCUGACCCCAAGAUGAAGCCCUCUUUUCUUGUUGUCCCAGCCGCCCCAAGCUUUUCCAUCCCUUCCUAAACCCAGGCCAUUACUCGAAUCCUCUCUUUUACUCCCUCUCUUUUCCUCUGAUUCUCCAAAGCUCAGCCGCCAGCCCACCCUUUUGAUUUUUUUUUUUCCGUCCUUAGCCUCUCUCUAUCUCUCAAAACCUAGCUAUUAUUCUAGAUUCAUCCCCCCUCCAGGUGUCCUAGACACCUGGCCAUUCGUAGCUCAAUUUUUCCCCCAAGGACCUCCUGCAAUCUUAUUUGCAAGCUGCGUUUCCGCAGCUUGCUGUCGUGGGUUUUUUUUUUUUUUUUUAUAACUUAGUUAAACAAAAUUGAAAAUAGUAAAAAUAAAUAGCAAAACAAAUUAAUUAACAUUAGAAACAAUGUGCAAUUUUCAUUCUUCCCUUCCCCCCUUUUUUUUUUUAAAUGAACCAAACGAAAAUAAAAUAAAAGAUAAAUAAAGUAGAAAUGACUAAAAAUAGAUAAAUAAAGCCAAAUAAAACAAAAUUGCUAUUUUUCUUUUUCCUUUUUUUCUUUUAUGAUUUUUCUUUUUUUUUCAAGAAAUUCUUAUGCUAAAAAUUAAAAAUAAUAAUAAUAACACAAAAACUAAAAACUAAAAAGUGAAUAAAACGAGCACAGACUAAAAAAUAAAUAGUAAAUGAAAUUACACCAAAAUUUGGUGUCUACAGUUUGCCCCUCUUUGUCUGAGUUUUGGAAAAACUUGAGACAAAGAAGUAGACACCAAAUGCUCACCUGCAUUAUUUGGCUGCAAAAAUGAUUCCAACGAACAAGAAUUCUAAAAUGGGGCUGACCCAAACAUAAAAUUAAAAACGGGACUGACCCGAACAGAAAAUGUAAAAUGGGAUAGACCCGAACAGAAACGUAAAUGGGAUAGACUCGAACAGAAAAUGAAAAAUGGGAUAGACCCAAACAGAAAAUGUAAAAUGGGAUAGACCCGAACAGAAAAUGUAAAAUGGGAUAGACCCAAACAGAAAAUGUAAAAUGGGAUAGACCCACGGGAUAGACCCGAACAGAAAAUGAAAAAUGGGAUAGACCCAAACAGAAAAAUGUAAAAUGGGAUAGACCCACGGGAUAGACCCGAACAAAAAUGAAAAAUGGGAUAGACCCAAACAGAAAUGUAAAUGGGAUAGACCCAGACAGAAAUUUAAAUGGGAUAGACCCACGGGAUAGACCCGAACAGAAAAUGUAAAAUGAAGAACUGUAUAAGACUUGUUUGAAAAAUUAUCUAAAAAUUUGCCCCAGUGUGAUGAAUUGGUCGGUGGGAUAACAUCUAAGCCUGACGGGGUGUGGACGGUCAGCGGAAUAGAACCCGGUCCUGCCGAAGUAAGCGGUCAGCGGGAUAAAUCCGGGUCCUGUCCGAAGGAGCGUGUCAGCGGGAUAAAACCCGGUCCUGCCGGAGUAAGCGAGUCAGCGGGAUAGACCCCGGUCCUACCGAGGUAGCGGCCAGCGGAUAAAACCCGGGUCUGCGAAGCUAAGCGGUCAGCGGGAUUAAACCCGUCCUGCCGAAAGCGCGGAAUAAAUACCCUGGUCCUGCCGAGGUAAGCUGCGGAUAAAACUCGUACUUGCCGAAGUAAGGCGUCAGCGCGGAUAAAAACCCGGGUCCUGCCGAAAUAAGCGUCUGUCAGCGGGAUAAAACCCGGUCCUGCCGAAAGCGGGAUAAAACCCGGUCCUGCCGAGGUAAGCGGUCAGCGGGAUAAAACCCGGUCCUGCCGAAGUCGGAGCUUGAUUUGAUUUUUGAUUUUUGAUUGAUUUGAAAUUUAUUUUUAUUAUUAUUUUUUUUUUUGAGAAUCUUUCCAAAAAAUUAAUUUGCCCCAAGUGUAGGGCCCUUUUCUUUCUUUCUUCUCUUUCUUCGGCAUCGGCCUCCCACAUCACCAGAUGCUUUUUCGUCGAUUUCAACUAUGAAUACCUGCACAGGGGCUUACCAAAAUAUGACAUGCACUCAAGUUUUUGUGAAAAGAAACAGCGUGAUUGAUUUGAAAAAUGCAUUAUUUUGAUUCUUGGAUGAAAUCCUCAAUUGGACUACAAAAAUAUUUGCCCCUGUGUGGGUUUAUUUUGUGAAAUCUUGCAAAUAAAAAUUUUGCCGCAGUGUGGGCUCCCUUGAUUGCAAAAAUUUGUUCAGAUGAUUUCCCAUUUAUUUGAACAAAGAGAAACAGCACUUCUAAAAUUUAGAAAAUAGUCAUAUAUACAAUGUGAAGACACUUAACGUCGAGUUUGAACUCAUGCAGAAAUUUCAAGAUGAAUCCCUUAGAAUAACACCAAAUUCAAGAAGAUUUCUUCCUCACUUUUAGCAUCGGUGCUUAGGAUAACAGGUCACCACUUUCUGGUUAGCCCAUCUUUCAAGACUAAUCAAGUGGGCGUUAUGUCUGACUUGGAAGUGACUAAAGGAAAUGGGAGGCCAAGACUUGUCUUAUUUUGCGCCCCAAUUGUAUGUAAUCCCUUCAAUGUCACAUCUUAGUGAAAGCAAAGAGUUUGUCACCCUUAUUUUUUAAGAAAACUUAGUCAACACAUAAGCUUUAAGCUUGCAACAAAUGGGUAAAAACGAUAGCUAAACAUGCGAAAACUGGUUAUACCCUUAUGAUCAUGAGUGAUCGAUGGAUUUCCUAUGAGCAUAAUCCUCACUUUGGGUUGUCAUGAAAGGAUAAGUCAACGAUGGACUUUAUUAGCUUGGUGGGUUUUCACAUGGUGAGUAGCGUCAACCCCAUACCCAAGCAAUUCAGAAAUACAGCUAAAAUUUUCUGGCAUCAGAAAUUUUCUUGACAGGGCCAUUGCAAAGAACAGAAGUCAAGACUUUCGGCUUUUGUAAUGGGGUCAGGUGGGGUGUUUAGAAAAGUUAAGGCUUGAAGGCAGAUUUUAAAAAUGGUUUGAAGAAUUUGAGAUCGCAUUGUUACACCAACCCUAUUUUAGGGUUAAAUCAGAAUUUGCCUCAGUUUAUGCUCAAUUGAGGCUUUUCUCUUUCAUUUUCUUUCUUUUUGAUUUUUCGGCCUUCUGCCAUUCUUUUGAACCUUCACAAAAUUUGCCCCAGUUUACUUUUGAACUGAGGUUCUUUUUUCUUCUUUUGUCUUUUGAUUUUGUGGCUUUUCACCUUUUCACUUCUUGAAAUUUUCCUUUUCAACUCAAACUUGCCCCAGUGUGGGGUUUGCGAUUCUCAGGGGUUGCCAAAUGAAGUAUUUUAUUCUGAAGGCUCAAAAGGGAUAACUAGGGAUAGAAUGCUUGAUCGGAAAAGAAGAGGGCCUGACCUUUGUUCCGUCCCUUACAAUAACUCUGAAAGGAAACUUUCGUCAAUGCGAAAAUUUUUUGCAUGUAUCUGAAUUAAUUGACUGAGGAAGACUCUCCAUAAGUGGUUCGUCGGACAAAACCCUUCAUUUUCUUCUUUUUUACAAAAUUGGAACCCAAGUGGAAUCAAAUUUUCCCAAUUUGCGGUUCCCUUUCUCCCUUUUUUCCUUUUUCAAAAUUCCCCAAUCUCCUUCCCCAAUGUGGGGUGCGAUCAUAUGUGCACUCGAAAAGAACCACCCAUUUUUGGCUCAAAUGAGGAUGCAAUGGAUAAAUGGUGUUUAGGUUGUAGGAACGAUGGCCAAAGUAUCAUUCUUAUGCCUCAUGACAACCAAAGUAACGCAAUGGUCAUUGAAAAUCCAUUUCUCUUUUGAUAUUUGAAAAUCUUCCAAUGAAAGGUAGUGAUCAGUAGGGCUCUUAUUUGAAACGAAAUUACUCUUUCAAAGGCUCAAAUGGUAGAGCAAAUGAUAAAAUGUGUAUGGGUAGAGAAAAGAAUGCUCGAAGUAUCAUUCCAAAUUUUCAAAACAAACAAGAAUAAUGCACAUUUUUGCUUUCACUUAGAUGUGAAUUGAAUCGGUUACACAAUGGAUAUUUUCAAGCAAAGAUGGCCCCAAUUUGCAAUUUAUCAAUCAAUGUGACUGAUUUUAUUCUGGGGUUAAGUGAAGGAGAAAAGGUAUCUCAUCGGGCUUUUUGAGUGGCCAUUCACCCUUUUGUUCUCUGAGCACUCUUAUUGUAUAGCUUGGAUCACCGAUCAAAUGUAAGGAUUUAGGAAGCAUACACUUGUGAAUUUUCAGGCUAGAGGUUGAAAAAAUCUCAAUUUGUUUUAUUUCUCAAAAUUCAUCAUGAAAUCUCCAAUGAAUAAGAAUAAAGAAUGAAAUGUACAUCAAUAUACACAAGACAAUGAUUGUCCCAAAAAAUUUAUUGCUAAAAAAGUUUGAAACAAAAAUUCUCAUUCAAUUAUGAUACAAAUGAGAAGAGAGAAACUUGUAAAGAGCUCCACAUAUACAUUUUUUGUCUCCUUUUCUUUUGACACAAAAAUAUAUUAACAAGUCAAAUAUAUAGAAUUUUCUUUGAAAACAAUUAUGAAAUCUCUUAAAAGUUCUUAGCCUAGAGCUUUCAGAUGGGUCUUUCAGGUUUCCAUUGUUGGAUUUGCCCAAGAAUCAAAUAAUACUUGUGAUUUUCAAACUUUAUUAGAUCAAAAUUAUCAUCAGCUAUAGAAAAAUGUUUUUGCCUUAUUGAAAUAUUCUUAUGAAUGCAGGGGGAAGGGGGAAAACAAAAGGAAAAUACCCAGAGUUAGUAAGAAAGAAUAUAAAAUCGGUAUGCAUGUCCUAUGGGGGGACCCUUUUUGUGCCAAGGGUAGGCCUAGCAUGAAAAUGCAAUCCUCCAGAGCAGGCACUAUACAAUACCUGAUGGAUCCAAUCAGCUUAUGGAGGGAAAAAUAAUUUGAAAAAUUUGGCCCAUUGGAAUGAGAAGAGACGUUUGUCAAAAUGAGGACCUCGUCCGAAGGGAUUGAUUACUUUUGAUCGAUACAAGAACUUGCAAAAACGCACGGGUUUGAUCUUGACGAACUUCCUAUCGAAGAGAUUGGAGUUCGUUGACCAAAUUUUUCAGUGAAGCACGGGUCAAAACUCCGACUGAUCAAAUGGCUGGAUGCAAUGGAUGGUUUUCUCAAAAAUCGACUAAGUUUCCCAAUUUGAAAUUGACAUUGAAACCCUGAUUGGUCAAAUGGGUUGAAUGAAAUUGGCCAUUUAUUUAAAAUCGACAAGAUUACCCUAAAAAGGGAAACUAGUCAAAUGAAUUGAAUGAAAUUUAAUAACUUACUCAAAAUUGACCGGAUCAUCCUAAAAAAGGAACUUGGUCAAACGAAUUGAAUGAAAUCGAGAAUUUAUUUAAAGUUGACCAGAUCGCCCUAAAAGGGUAGAUUUGGCAAAUGAAUCGGACGAAAUUGAUGAUUUAUCGAAAAUCGACAAAAUUGCCCUAACUAAUCAAAUGAAUUGAAUGAAAUUGGUGAUUUAUUCAAAAAUCGACUAGAUUGCCAUAAAAAUGAGUGGCCAAAUGAAAUGAAGAUUUAUUCGAAAACCGACCGGAUGACCCUAAAAAGGGUAAAUUGGUCAAAUGAAUUGAUGAUUUAUUCAAAAAUCGACCAGGUGACCCUAAAAAGGGUAAAUUGGUCAAAUGACCCUAAAAAGGGUAAAUUGGUCAAAUGAAUUGACGAUUUAUUCAAAAUUGACCAGGUGACCCUAAAAAGGGUGAAUUGGUCAAAUGACCCUAAAAAGGGUAAAUUGGUCAAAUGAUGGUUUAUUCAAAAUUGAUUAUGAAUUGACAAAAUGGAUCGAUUGAAUCGGCCGGCCAUUGGUGGUUUCAGAAAAUUAGUCUAUGAGCCUUCUAAAAUCACGAUUUGGCCUCAAUUUAUUUAUCGUCUCAAUAGGAGGAAUCAUUUGUGAAUUUCUUCAAAUUAAUGUCCUUCACGCAAGGGAUUUUUACCAAAUUUUGAUAAAAUGGCCAAAAAGUGAUUAUUAGAUGCUCAUAUUCCAAAUAUCACUCUAUGAAAAUGAUCGGAUCCUACCUUACCUUGUGCAUACCCCUUUGGAUGGUACAAAAUGUAAACGUGCAAGUCUCACUGGAUUAAGUAUCCGAGACACAAGGUGGCUUAUUCCUGAUACGGGAUCCCCUAAUGACAUUCCCUUUCUAAGGUUUAAUGCAUGAUGCCAGUUAUUAAAGCAGGAAAAAAUGCAAUUCGAAAUGAAACGUGACCUAAGGAACCCUUUAUCUGCCAGGGUAGGCCUAGAAUGAUAUGCAAUCAUUAAUCUAUGAAUGCAAUAUACACAAAUCUUUAAACGUGCAAUAGCCUAAUCAAACAAAAGGGUAAGGAGUUCUAAAAUAAAGUCAUGCAAGACCUCUAUUUGCUAGGUUUGUUGAAUGUAAUCCAAGGAAAACAAAAAAAAAGGUUAAGUAGCAAUGUGAUAGUAACACAUAAUCAUAUUGGGUUAGCAAUAAAAUAAACAAGUACAAUAUGAACAGUAAAAGGGGUGGAAACCCCUUCCCUCGUGCCUAAUGUGCUUAAUAGGGUAAGGCCGACUCUAACCUAGGAAAAUUCUAACAUGGAUGCAUGAGGCUAAGGCUUACUAAUGCAACUAGACUCGAUAAGGCUUCGGCUCCCAAGCCUUCAGACCUAAAGGCAAAGGAUCAUCACUCCCAAAGCCUUCGAUCGGUGGCUCGAGUGAUCCCUUAGGUAGCGCUAUGGGCGCAGCGCACACCAUCCGCCUACCCAAGGCGAUCGAUCCUAAUCCUACAAGGCGGUGUGGGAAACGCCCACGAAAAAUAAAAAUAAAAUGGGAUAACAAUAAAUAAACGUGCACGUAUGAAGUGCUCCUUAUUUUGAGGGAAAGGGUUGAGAACCAUGCGAGGCUCUAAAAGGUGACACACACCCCCCCCAAAUGCAAUGCAAGCGCGAGAUAAGUAAAUAAACAUAUAUCCAAUCAACCAAUCAUACAUUCGUGAGCGAGGGAGUAAUUUGAGACGCGAGUGAUGCAAAAUCCUAAAAAAGGAAAAAAAUGCAACCCUAAAAUACACAAAUGUGAUAUAUGAAAAGGUUAAAAGAAGAAAAAGGUUGAUUAAAUCAAAUUUGCUCGGACUCUCGAAUGUCCCCAGUGGAGUUGCCAACUGUCGCGCCCCAUUUUUUGAUAAAUAAAUAAAUGAUUUUAAAAAAUGUGUUUUGAUUUGAAAAAAUGAAUUUUUGAUUUGAAAGAAAAGUGGGCCUCAAUGGGGUUUUGAAAAUGCGACGAUUUGAUCCAAAAUUAUAGUUUAAAAAGGGUUUUUUGAAACAAAAUACGGAGUCGCCACUUGGUAAUGAGUUAAGGUGUACCAAGUCACCCAAAAAAAUGAAUUUUUUAAGAAAAAUGAGAAAAAAUUAGUAAGAAACCCCUUUUAAACGACUCCUAGUCCACGUAAACCAAGGAAAAAGGUUCGGGAGUCACAUUUGACAAAGGGGAAGGCAAGGAUACAAUCCAAGGCACCCCUUUGACCUAGUCAAGGCUAGUUGCGUGAUUUAAUCAAAGAUUUUCUUGUUUUAACCAAAGAAUUUAUUACAUUUGGAUGUGCUACAUGAAAUGCAAAACCCUAGAUUCUAAGAUGUCUCUUGUAAGGUUUUUGGUCCCAACCACAUGAAUUGCGGCGGCCAAUGAAAGAAAACCUUAUAGAGGUCGAUUAAUGCAAAUGAUGAUUCAAGUGCAAGUGUGCAAGUAUAUAAAAAGGUGCAUGUGUACAAUUGUAUGGAAAUCCAAGUGUUUGUGUGCAAGUGUAUGAAAUAUAGUGAUAAGUGUAUAUAGAUCGUAAUUAAGUGCAAUUUUGUGAAGUAGAAAUCAAAAUUGAACAAUAAGGAAAGGAAAAGUAAUGAGGAAAUGUGAAUUGAAAAAGUGAGUAAGUGAAAAAUUGAGAAUGAAUGAACCUAAAGGAAUGCAUCAGGUCGGGUAUGGGAAUGACUCCUAACUUUUUCGACUUCGAUUUUCCCUUUGAUUAGAAGGCAAAACUAGCGUGCUAAGGCUAUCGAAUAGCCACACUCGCUCGUUUCCCUUAUCGGAGGGGACACUUCAAGGAAAUGAAACCUAUAACUAGCAUGAAAUGCAAAAAUCCUAAAAUGGAGGGAAAAGGGGUUCAAGGGGCAUGCAAAAUGAUAAAACUAAAAAAAGAAUACAUGACAUGUAGUGAACACACAAAUAUGCACUAUCGAAAGGGGAAAUGGCUUAUUGGGUCUAGCAUUGGACUAGCCCUUUCUAUGAAUUUCUACUAGCAUUGGACUAGUAGAAACGGAACAAUGAACCACAACUAGCGUUGGACUAGUGUGGUGACGGGAAAGGGGGCCACAACUAGCAUUGGACUAGUGUGGUGACGUCCAUUCAUUCGUCACAUUCAUUCAUGACUAUAAAAGGCGAGUAGACAUGCGAAUCACUUAUAAACACGUAGCACAUAACACUUAGCAUGCAUAUCUAGAUGCCCAAAACCUAAGAAAGCGAUGAAACAUAAAGCACAUAGACAUGCAAGAAACAUAAGGCAACUAAGGCCCUAACUAUUACAUUUUUAGGGGAAGAAGGCCUAUACAAUCUAGGAGGGGGGAACGGAAUAAAAAUAAUAACCUAGCUAUUACAACUUGGCAUUCAAGUGCCUUCAAAUCACUUGCAAAUUAAGAAAAAUGAAAUAAAAGAAAGCGAAAUAGGCAAUUAAACAUGAAAUGAUAAGCGAAUUAAAGCAUGCAUAUUCACACAUAACACAUAGGAGCACGUAGAGUCAAAAUAAAGUAAGAAAUAAGGGAUUAGGGUGUACCUCCCCUUGAAUUGGGGUCCCCAUUGAGUGAAACCACUUAUUUGCCCUCCAAAAUAAUAAAAGAGUCAAGGCAUCACUUUAAUCAAGAAAUAAUCACAAAAAGAUAAAAAUAAACAUGAAAUUGAAUCAAUUAAAUCAUGUAGACAACCCACAUUUAAGAAGUCAAAAGAAGAAAGGACUUGAUUGCAAAGAUUGACAAAGAUUUGGGGUCAAAAUCAAAGAAAAACAAAGUUUAGGGGCCUAUUUGCAAUUAAGUUAAGGACCCAAUUGAAAGGAGUUGAAAAUGUCCAGGGCCACAGUACAAUUAAGGAGAAAUUCAAGGACUGAUUCGCAAAUCCAAUUAUCAGAUUCUUAAGAAACAGGCCCUUGGGCCAUUUUAUUUAUCUCUUGGGCCAAAACCUUCCUAAGCCCGCCGAAAAUCCAAGGCAAAUGGAAUGGGUCAGCCUUCACAUUCCAAUAAACAAAGCCAAUCAAAAGAGUGGGCUAAACCUAUACUAGAAACCCAAACAAAAUUUUAUUAAACCCACCUUUUCAACCCAACCAAAUAUUAUUACCCAAAAACCCUAAUCAUAAAACUAAAACAAGAUUUUUGAAUGAUGAAGGUUUGGGACCUGAUUGGGACCAGAAUCGGACUUGAUUGAAAGAAUUAUGAAGGUUUGGGGGGUCGAAUCAUGAAGUUCUACAAGCUUUGGGGCGAAAUCACAGAGCAAGGGACAAUGGAAGGACUGAAAUUAUAAAUUUAAGCAAAUAUUCAUCCUCUUCAAACUGAUGGAACAUUCACCGCCAUUUCAUCCCUCUUUGCAUACGGCAAACACCAGAAAAAUUCAUUCUCAAUCAUAGCAAAAAGAAAUGGAACCUGCACAAGGUUCCUCCCAUGCCAAUGGGACUCGAAUUCAUUCAAGGAAAGGGAUGAGGAACAGGAAAACAGAAAAAAGUGCACGAACAUCAGCAUGUCAAAGCCCCUCAAGACAUUACUUUCUACCAUGAAACAAAACCAGCUAUGAUAUUUGGACAAGCCCUAAAUUAGCCGAAUGUUCAUUUUCCUCACACACAAAACGCAGGCAAAUCAUCUUCAAGUAUAACUCUCAAUUGGGCAUUUUAUCAAACACUAAAUGGGCAUAAAAGUUCAGCAAAAUUUUGUUCGAUUGAUGUCAUAAUCAGCCCCCAAAAUUUGUAAGAAGCAAACAAAUUCAGCCCAAUCGACGUAUACAGCAUCCAAAUUCAAAAAUUUGAGGCCAAUUGGCAGGAAAAUCAUGCUAGAUUAAGCCACAGCAGACCCAUUUCACACACUUGAGAAGAACUGAAAUUUAAAUAGGAAACUUACAGAGCUCUUUACAAUGAAAAUCCACGGGCGAUGAUAGCGGGUUCCGGUGGUGGCAAUGGCAGACAGCAGCGGCAACGGACGCGAACUGGUGGUGGCUUGGUUCUUCCUCCGUCUCAGUGACAUAUCGCGGCGACAAUCUACAGGGGGUAGUGUCGGAGUCCAUUUCUGUAAUUCGUUUCUUGGUGAAAAUUUGCCAGCAAUGAUGUCGGAUUCGGCGAAGUGAUGGUGGCGAUGAGCGGUGGCGGUUCCAGUUUUCUGAAUUCAUCCUUCAUUUUGCCGAAACCUUCUUCCUCUGCUUCCGUUUGCAAUCGUGGCCUUUCCUCUGUUUUUCUUUCUACCCAGCGGCCAUCAACCGUAGCUACCUCCUCUCCACCUCUCUGUUUCUCUGUUUUUUCCUCCUGACCCCAAGAUGAAGCCCUCUUUUCUUGUUGUCCCAGCCGCCCCAAGCUUUUCCAUCCCUUCCUAAACCCAGGCCAUUACUCGAAUCCUCUCUUUUACUCCCUCUCUUUUCCUCUGAUUCUCCAAAGCUCAGCCGCCAGCCCACCCUUUUGAUUUUUUUUUUUCCGUCCUUAGCCUCUCUCUAUCUCUCAAAACCUAGCU
rnacentral:lncRNA from 1 species